AUACUGUUGGUGAUUUCAUGAUCUUCCUUCUAUGCAGUGGGAACGUGUCAAAAUGACAUAUGGCAUAUUGGUGUGAACUUUAGAAUCAUUCCUCGGAUUCAG